ACGCUGGCGGUAGGCCUAACACAUGCAAGUCGAACGGCAGCACAGUAAGAGCUUGCUCUUACGGGUGGCGAGUGGCGGACGGGUGAGGAAUACAUCGGAAUCUACUUUUUCGUGGGGGAUAACGUAGGGAAACUUACGCUAAUACCGCAUACGACCUACGGGUGAAAGCAGGGGACCUUCGGGCCUUGCGCGAUUGAAUGAGCCGAUGUCGGAUUAGCUAGUUGGCGGGGUAAAGGCCCACCAAGGCGACGAUCCGUAGCUGGUCUGAGAGGAUGAUCAGCCACACUGGAACUGAGACACGGUCCAGACUCCUACGGGAGGCAGCAGUGGGGAAUAUUGGACAAUGGGCGCAAGCCUGAUCCAGCCAUACCGCGUGGGUGAAGAAGGCCUUCGGGUUGUAAAGCCCUUUUGUUGGGAAAGAAAUCCAGCCGGCUAAUACCUGGUUGGGAUGACGGUACCCAAAGAAUAAGCACCGGCUAACUUCGUGCCAGCAGCCGCGGUAAUACGAAGGGUGCAAGCGUUACUCGGAAUUACUGGGCGUAAAGCGUGCGUAGGUGGUUGUUUAAGUCUGUUGUGAAAGCCCUGGGCUCAGCCUGGGAACUGCAGUGGAAACUGGACAACUAGAGUGUGGUAGAGGGUAGCGGAAUUCCCGGU
rnacentral:rRNA from 1 species